rnacentral:rRNA from 1 species
CCUACGGGAGGCAGCAGUGGGGGAUAUUGCACAAUGGGCGGAACCCUGAACCAGCGAAGCCGCGUGGGUGAAGGAGUGCCUCGGCAUGUUAAGCCUCAUUGGCAGGGAAGAAACAAGACGGUACUUGACUAAGAAGACCCGGCCAAAUACGAGCCAGUAGCCGGGGUACUACGUAGGGGGCGAGCGUUAUCCGGAUUCACUGGGUGUAAAGGGAGUGUAUGGGGUCAAGGAAGCCGGGGGGGAAAGGCCGGGGCCCAACCCCGGGACUGCGCUUGAAACUGGAGGGCUCGAGUGCGGGAGGGGCAGGCGGAAGGCGUGGUGUAGCGGUGAAAUGCAUAGAUAUCAGGAAGAACACCGACUGCGAAGGCAGCAUGCUGGACCGCGACUGACGUUGAGGCACGAAAGCGUGGGGAGCGAACAGGAUUAGAUACCCCUGUAGUC